rnacentral:rRNA from 2 species
GGGGAGCAGCAGUAGGGAAUCUUCCACAAUGGGGCCAAGCCUGAUGGAGCAACACCGCGUGAGUGAAGAAGGGUUUCGGCUCGUAAAGCUCUGUUGUUAAAGAAGAACACGUAUGAGAGUAACUGUUCAUACGUUGACGGUAUUUAACCAGAAAGUCACGGCUAACUACGUGCCAGCAGCCGCGGUAAUACGUAGGUGGCAAGCGUUAUCCGGAUUUAUUGGGCGUAAAGAGAGUGCAGGCGGUUUUCUAAGUCUGAUGUGAAAGCCUUCGGCUUAACCGGAGAAGUGCAUCGGAAACUGGAUAACUUGAGUGCAGAAGAGGGUAGUGGAACUCCAUGUGUAGCGGUGGAAUGCGUAGAUAUAUGGAAGAACACCAGUGGCGAAGGCGGCUACCUGGUCUGCAACUGACGCUGAGACUCGAAAGCAUGGGUAGCGAACAGGAUUAGAUACCCUGGUAGUCCAUGCCGUAAACGAUGAGUGCUAGGUGUUGGAGGGUUUCCGCCCUUCAGUGCCGGAGCUAACGCAUUAAGCACUCCGCCUGGGGAGUACGACCGCAAGGUUGAAACUCAAAGGAAUUGACGGGGGCCCGCACAAGCGGUGGAGCAUGUGGUUUAAUUCGAAGCUACGCGAAGAACCUUACCAGGUCUUGACAUCUUGCGCCAACCCUAGAGAUAGGGCGUUUCCUUCGGGAACGCAAUGACAGGUGGUGCAUGGUCGUCGUCAGCUCGUGUCGUGAGAUGUUGGGUUAAGUCCCGCAACGAGCGCAACCCUUGUUACUAGUUGCCAGCAUUAAGUUGGGCACUCUAGUGAGACUGCCGGUGACAAACCGGAGGAAGGUGGGGACGACGUCAGAUCAUCAUGCCCCUUAUGACCUGGGCUACACACGUGCUACAAUGGACGGUACAACGAGUCGCGAACUCGCGAGGGCAAGCAAAUCUCUUAAAACCGUUCUCAGUUCGGACUGCAGGCUGCAACUCGCCUGCACGAAGUCGGAAUCGCUAGUAAUCGCGGAUCAGCAUGCCGCGGUGAAUACGUUCCCGGGCCUUGUACACACCGCCCGUCACACCAUGAGAGUUUGUAACACCCAAAGUCGGUGGGGUAACCUUUAGGAGCCAGCCGCAU